UGUCCUGCUGGAGGACAAGACCACAGGGAACAAAGCUGAGACCAUGCAAAACAGGCUGCCACAGCCAGUGGGACACAAGAGGGAGACCAGCGAGACCAGCCAAGCUGGGCUCAGAUGGGCAGAGCUGCCCAGGCAGCUGGCAGGCAGACCUGAGCCAGAAACCCAGCCAACGAAAACAAGACGCGCUGACCAGCUCUGUAGGAGGAAGGGGACCCCUAGCAGAGCUCCUAAAUCCCUUGGAAUCUACUGGGUGGAAGGAGGAUCUUUUGCUGCAAUUCUGUGACUCUAAGUGGGUUCCUGGAUGGCUUCUGGAUCAGGGCUGGUCACCAGAAAGAUCAAGCCAUGAUAAGGAGCUUGGAACUUUCAGCCCAGCUGGAGAUGGAGUUAAUGAUCGAUCGUGCCUGUGUGAUGAAGCUGGCUAUAUAAAAGUCCCUAAAGAUGGGGUUCAGAGAGCUCCUGGCUGGUGAAUACAUCCAUAUGAUGGGGGGCUCACUCCAGCUCCACGGACACAGAAGCUCCUGUGCUCAGGGCCCUUCUGGACCUUGCCCUGUCUAUUUCUUCAUCUAGCGGUUCACUCAUAUCCUUCAAUAUCCUUUGUAAUAAGCUGGUUAUCUAGUAGGUAAACUGUUUUCCUGAGUCCCGUGAGCUGUUCUAACAAAAUAUCAAAUUGGAGAAAGGGGCUCAUGGGAACCCCAGCUUAUGGCCAGUUGGUCAGAAGCACAGGUGACAACGUGGACUCAAUGUUGGCAUCUGAAGUGGAGGCGGGGCCAGGCGGGUCUGCACUAACUCUGGUCAGUGUCAGAAUUGGGUUGAACUUAGGACGCCCAGCUGGUGCUGGAGAAUUGCUGGGUGUGGAAAACCCACACAUCUAGUGUCAGAAGUGUCACGUGAGAAUAAAGAAGAACACAGGGGUGUUUUUCCAAGGCAGCACCCCAAGGCUGCUCUUCACCAGCUGUGCAAACUCCAGCAAGUCACUUGACCUCUCUGUGCCUCUCUCUCCUUCCCAGCAAGAUGGGAACAUGGAUGUCAUCCACUGACAGGAAUGUCCUGGGCCUCAAUGAGCUGACACGUGUAAAGUGCUUAGAACUGCUCCUGGCAGAGAGCGCUGCUCUCAUUUUAAGUGCACAUGCUUAAAAAAAACAUUUUAUUAUUGAAAUUUCAAACAUAUCCAGAAGUGGAGAGGUGAUAUGCCGAACUUUCCGCCUCUGUCAUCAAAGUUCUCA